rnacentral:rRNA from 1 species
GUGGGCGUUUGAAGUUUGAGGGGCUCUGACUCUAGUACGAGAGGACCGAGUUGGACAGACCUCUAGUGUACCGGUUGUAACGCCAGUGGCACCGCCGGGUAGCUAUGUCUGGAAGGGAUAAGCGCUGAAAGCAUCUAAGUGCGAAGCCCGCCCCAAGAUGAGACUUCGUCACAGGGUGGUCGAAGACUACGACCUCGAUAGGCCGCAGGUGUAAAGCCGGCGACGGCAAAGCCGAGCGGUACUAAUUACCCGAAGACUUUCCGUA